rnacentral:rRNA from 1 species
AUGUCCAUGGCGACCGGAGUAGAACCGACGAUCGACGUGAAGGUUUUCGUGGACAAGGAGAGGGGCAAGGUGCUCUUUGCGGAGUCCGGCAAGGAGUUCGUCGACGUUCUCUUCGGCUUCCUCACGCUGCCCCUCGGCACCGUCGUCCGCCUCCUCGGCGGGCAGUCUCAGGUGGGAUGCCUCGACGAGCUGUACAGGAGCGUCGAGGGGCUCUCCACCGACCUGUUCAGGACAGAGGCUUGCAAGGCGAUGCUGCUCAGGCCCAUCAACGCUGCAGCAAAGCAGUGCUGUCAGUUGACGGUCAGAGUCGACGACACCAAGCACAGGGAGGUUUACGUCUGCGCUGACACGAGCUGCAGUGUCACCGCGUUCAGCUCCGUCACCGGCGCCGUCUGCAACUGCGGUAGAAUCAUGACGCAGCUUGCCGGGGAGAGGCCGGAGAAUCCUCGUAACGCUGCUGCCGGUGGUGCUUGCGAGGAUGGGGCUUUUGUCAAAGGAGGUAUGAAGUUUAUCGUCACUGAUGAUCUCAAUGUUGCACCGGCCUCAACUUCUCUCAUGCUGUCCCUUCUGGACAAAUUUCAAGUGCCAGAUCCCUCCUGUCUUGAGCAAAUGACACUCCAGUUUAGUUCAGUCAAGAUAAUUGACCUGCUCAGGAGGUCAUUAACGUCGCAGAACCCGUUAACUGGUCAUUAUCUUGACGUCGCGCCUGAUGAUUCAGUAGUGGAUAUGCUCCCUGAGUACUUGCAUCCUGAAGAACAAGAUAAUGAGGCUGAGCACUCACUAGUUAAUGCCAGCCUAAGGGUUCUUCAGACAAAGAACAACUCCAAGGUGUUGUACGCCGAAGUUGGCGGCGAUUUGGUGGAUCUUCUCUUUGGAUUACUGACCAUACCUCUAGGAUCCAUAGUGAAAACAUAUGGGAAAUCUGCAUCUAAAGGAUGUCUUGACAAUCUUUACACUAGCAUAGCUGGAAGUGCUCAUGGAUGCUUGAGGCCAGAAUGCCAGAACUUGCUAUUGUCCCCAAUGCUGGCACCUUAUUUUGGCUACGGUGCUAGUAAGAUGCUUCAAGUUGAAGAACUAGCUCCAGAUAAGCUGGAUAUAAAUGCAUGCUUCAAGUGCUUCAAGAGUCGUGGAUUUGCAAAUCAUUACCUUUGUCAUGUUGAACCAUGGUGCAACUACCAAAAACGCUAUGUCAAAAUUUGUUAUGAAAAAGGGAAGACCACAAAGCUCUGUGAGUUGGAUCCAAAAACACCAGAGGGAGGAUGUGAAGAAGCAGCAUAUGUAAAGCAGGGACCUCAGAAAUUCAUUGUGACUGAUGAUCUGCAUGUUCUUCCUCUGUCCUUAGCAAGCACUCUGCAAGUUGUUAUUGAAGCCAAACUUCAGAGAAAGGACCUUGUGGAGAAAGAAGUCGCCCUUACAAAACCCCAGGUUAUGGAGCUACUCAGAGCUGCCUUGGUGACUCACAGAGCUCUUAGCACCGUGCUUCUGCCCGCCAAGAUCAACAAGAAGCUGCAUUACCACAGCUUCGGUCUAUAUUAG